rnacentral:rRNA from 1 species
AGAGUUUGAUCCUGGCUCAGGAUGAACGCUGGCGGCGUGCUUAACACAUGCAAGUCGAACGAAGCACUUUGGACAGAUUCUUCGGAUGAAGUCCUUGGUGACUGAGUGGCGGACGGGUGAGUAACGCGUGGGUAACCUGCCUCAUACAGGGGGAUAACAGUUAGAAAUGGCUGCUAAUACCGCAUAAGCGCACGGUACUGCAUGGUACAGUGUGAAAAACUCCGGUGGUAUGAGAUGGACCCGCGUUGGAUUAGCUAGUUGGCAGGGUAACGGCCUACCAAGGCGACGAUCAGUAGCCGACCUGAGAGGGUGACCGGCCACAUUGGGACUGAGACACGGCCCAAACUCCUACGGGAGGCAGCAGUGGGGAAUAUUGCACAAUGGGCGAAAGCCUGAUGCAGCGACGCCGCGUGAAGGAUGAAGUAUUUCGGUAUGUAAACUUCUAUCAGCAGGGAAGAAAAUGACGGUACCUGACUAAGAAGCCCCGGCUAACUACGUGCCAGCAGCCGCGGUAAUACGUAGGGGGCAAGCGUUAUCCGGAUUUACUGGGUGUAAAGGGAGCGUAGACGGCAUGGCAAGUCUGAAGUGAAAGCCCGGGGCUCAACCCCGGGACUGCUUUGGAAACUGUCAGGCUAGAGUGCUGGAGAGGUAAGUGGAAUUCCUAGUGUAGCGGUGAAAUGCGUAGAUAUUAGGAGGAACACCAGUGGCGAAGGCGGCUUGCUGGACAGUAACUGACGUUGAGGCUCGAAAGCGUGGGGAGCAAACAUGAAAGGAUACCCUGGUAGUCCACGCCGUAAACGA